rnacentral:piRNA from 1 species
UGAGGCUGUGAUGAAGGUUGAUAAGUGC